GAGACUGCCGGUGACAAACCGGAGGAAGGUGGGGAUGACGUCAGGUCAUCAUGGCCCUUACGGCCAGGGCUACACACGUGCUACAAUGGUGCGCACAGAGGGCUGCAAACCCGCGAGGGGGAGCCAAUCUCACAAAACGCAUCGUAGUCCGGAUCGCAGUCUGCAACUCGACUGCGUGAAGUCGGAAUCGCUAGUAAUCGUGAAUCAGAAUGUCACGGUGAAUACGUUCCCGGGCCUUGUACACACCGCCCGUCACACCAUGGGAG
rnacentral:rRNA from 1 species